GUUGUGGCUCAGUGGCAGAGUGCUUGCCUAUCAUGUGUGAGGCACUGGGUUCGAUUCUCAGCAUGACA
rnacentral:tRNA from 1 species